rnacentral:tRNA from 1 species
AGAUUUAUAAUUAAAAUUAAAUAAUAUUUAUUUUGCAUAUAAAAUUUGCUAUAAUUAGCUAAAUCUA